rnacentral:rRNA from 1 species
UACGGAGGGGGCAAGCGUUGUUCGGAGUCACUGGGCGUAAAGCGCACGCAGGUGGCUGAGAAAGUCGAUUGUGAAAUCCCCAGGCUUAACCUGGGAACUGCAUUCGAGACUGCAUUGCUAGAGUAUGGGAGAGGGAAGUGGAAUUUCCGGUGUAGCGGUGAAAUGCGUAGAUAUCAGGAGGAACACCGGUGGCGAAGGCGGGUCUCUGGGCAACAACUGACGCUGAGGAGCGAAAGCGUGGGGAGCGAACAGG